UAAAAAAAAAAAAUGAAACCAAUACCUAAAGUGUUAAACGAGUAUACACAUAUCGUAUAAAAAUGGCUUUUUCAUCCCUCCUUUCCCGCUUCUUUCUCGAUAGAGCACGAUAAAUAAGCAGCCGGUUAUUUAUACACGACACCUAUAAUUCUUGAAGAAGAUGUAUUAGCGGCCUGCGCACUUCUUCCAAUUUCGCCCCCCUCCCCACGUAUCCUUUCCUCGCUCGUUUCUGCGCCGACAACCCCGAUAAAGGAGAAGAGGUGCUCUUGUGAACAUUGGAGACGCCACUUCGGAAAUAUACCGACUCGAUCGAACGCCUAUUGAUUACGUACGGAAAUAAAGUAAAAAGGUCAAAACUGAGAUAGAGUUUUGUUCUAUUGAUUCUAAUGCUAUUUCCGAUAUGAGUUCUUGCGUCACGUGUUUCACGAGCGAAAGAAGAAGAA